GCAUUUCACCGAUUGCUUCACUCCUCCUUCUCCCCAUAAGAGGAGAGAAACCCUUGCAAAACGUGUUUGUUCUGUUUGUUAUUCUGGAUAAAGCCGAUAACGAGUUGCAGCUGCUGAACAGGGUGUACUGCUUGCCGAGGCCACGGCUGUAACUUAUAGAUAGAACAGAGCAGCCAAAGAUGUGCCUCGGGCUGGAGCCAGCUCUGCAAAUAGGCCACACUCUGGGCUAUGAUACAUGCAUUUCAUUAGCUGACAAUUUACUCCUGGAGAAGCUUGAUUGGCGACAGACUCAAAAAGAGAGAAUUUGAAAUAUCACUCCUCAGCUCAAAGUGUUUUUCUCUGUUUCUGACCUGAAGGAUUGGCUUAUGUCAGUCUCAAUCAAGAUGCCUUUAGUAGUACUUGAGGCUGACUUGGAACAAUAUGGGUCCCUCUGGACAGAGUGUACACCUGAUGAUUCGUGUCUUGGGGCAAUGCCUGAGGCCGCACAGUCCCUAGUGCUGAAACUGAGCUCACGCCCAACUCAACUGAGUUUUGUGCCUCUUCCCUGUGUACUUAAGGGCUGUGGGCCAAAAAGACAUGCAGCCAACAAUCUGCCCUGAACCAUUAAACAGCUCUCUAAACCGAGCUGAUGGGGAACAGAGUAUCAUUGUCCAUUAUUUAUAAUGUGAUCUUCUACUUUUAUCCUCAAUUAUUAAGACACAAGGAAAACAAGAACAGUCAACAUUAUAAGGAUUGGGUCAAAAUGAAUACAUGCUUUGAGCAUAAACCAGAAUCAAGAUAACUCUUGUGCUUGCUUGAAAAAAGUUUUCAAGCCUUCAUCCUUUAGCAAGUUGCUCUGACUCCUCAGACCUCUGUUUGUUCACAGGUAGAAUGGGAAUGAUCCUCACAGCUGUGGAGGGUUAUCCAGAGACUUCUGAUAAACCA
rnacentral:lncRNA from 1 species